rfam:Oryza sativa Japonica Group DNA, chromosome 6, cultivar: Nipponbare, complete sequence.
AAAGACUCAAUUUUUAAGUUUUCGUGUCCAACAUUUAACCGUUCAUCUUAUAUAAAUUUUUUUAAUUACUAUUUUUAUUAUUGUUAGAUGAUAAAACAUGAAUAAUACUUUAUGCAUGACUUAUCUUUUAUUUUUUUAAAAAAAAUAUUUUAAAUAAGAUAGACGGUUAAACGUUAGAUACAGAAACCCAGGAAUUGAGUUUUU